GUUUCUCUAUGAUCACCGAAGUUAAGCAACGUCGAGCCUGGGCAGUACAAAGAUGGGUGACCGUUUGGGAAUACCACGUGCUGUAAG